CUGCAACGAUGACAAUAUUUUUUUCUCAAUGGCAGUUCACCGAGUGAAUGUUUAUGCUUUGAGUUUGAGAGA
rnacentral:snoRNA from 1 species